rnacentral:rRNA from 1 species
AUACGUAGGUGGCAAGCGUUGUCCGGAUUUACUGGGCGUAAAGGGCGCGCAGGCGGCUCGUCAAGUCUGGGGUGAAAUCUCCCGGCUCAACCGGGAGAGGUCUCUGGAUACUGACGGGCUUGAGGGAAGCAGAGGAGAGCGGAAUUCCCGGUGUAGCGGUGAUAUGCGUAGAUAUCGGGAGGAACACCAGUGGCGAAGGCGACUUUCUGGAUCAAUACUGACGCUGAGGUACGAAAGCGUGGGGAGCAAACAGGAUUAGAAACCCCGGUAGUCC